AUUGAACGCUGGCGGCAGGCCUAACACAUGCAAGUCGAGCGGAUGAAGGGAGCUUGCUCCUGGAUUCAGCGGCGGACGGGUGAGUAAUGCCUAGGAAUCUGCCUGGUAGUGGGGGAUAACGUCCGGAAACGGGCGCUAAUACCGCAUACGUCCGAGGGAGAAAGUGGGGGGUCUUCGGACCUCACGCCGUCCGAUGAGCCUAGGUCGGAUUAGCUAGUUGGUGGGGUAAAGGCCUACCAAGGCGACGAUCCGUAACUGGUCUGAGAGGAUGAUCAGUCACACUGGAACUGAGACACGGUCCAGACUCCUACGGGAGGCAGCAGUGGGGAAUAUUGGACAAUGGGCGAAAGCCUGAUCCAGCCAUGCCGCGUGUGUGAAGAAGGUCUUCGGAUUGUAAAGCACUUUAAGUUGGGAGGAAGGGCAGUAAGUUAAUACCUUGCUGUUUUGACGUUACCAACAGAAUAAGCACCGGCUAACUUCGUG
rnacentral:rRNA from 1 species